CACACAUCAAACACACACCAUCUCACACACACCAUCAAACACACCACAUGUCUGCUUGUUGUGUCCUUUGUGUGACUGUAGUCGUAUUGAGACACACGUCAAACCGGCAGACGCCCCCUCUGGGGGAUUCCUCGGAUCUCUCUUCAGUGUCCUACAGAAGCGGAGCUCAGAGGUGAUAAAUAAGCAGCUGCCUCCAACUCCGGCCAAACCUGCACCUGCAACUUUGAACGGUGUGUAAAACCAGUGAACAGCCCCUUUGUUUGAGCUGACAUUUUUUCUUUUCUUUUUGCUUUGUUAUGAACUCACAUCACAUGUGAGUGUGCAGCACAAAAAGCUACUUUGCAAAAUGAAUGUCAUGGAAACAGCAUUUUUAACAGACGAACAAUAGCCAACAGUGUAGGCUGUGUGAAGUAAGAAGAAAAGAUUUGAAGUCUCAUUAAUGGUGCAGAAAUAAGUGCUCUUUGUGAAUGUUCCAGAAAGAAUAGAUGGAAACCUGCAGGCUCACAUAUGCCAAAGUCAUUUCACUUUGACCGUGGGACACAGCUACACGAUAACAACAACAGUAUAAUUGUUAUUGCCACUUUUUGGCCUAAUCCUGAAUCCCAUGUUAACCACAAACAAUCUCAUGAAAACACGAGUAUGCUUCAGGUUGACAGGCUUGAUAAAAGUAUUUAUUUUCUUUGCAUUUACUGUCAGUAAUAAUUUUAUAUACGUUAUACUUUAACUCCUUUUUAAGCUUUUAAGAAUUUAGUACUUCUAUUGAAGUACACUUAAAUGCAAGCCUUUUUUAAUGUAUAUGUUAUUGUACUUUUUCAUUACUUUUUACCACACCGUCAUGCUGUGAUCAUCAUGCACCAAUUACCAAAUACAAAUUCUACUUCCUUAAACCUUUUCUGGUUUUAAAAUAAUUACAUUUUAAACCCUUGUAUUACUACUUCUCAACAUGUGUCCCUGUGUGGACCCACGUACGAAGCAAAAGUGCAAAGUGUUGCAAUUAUGUUGUGAAAAUGCCCUCAACUUCUGCAGAGAGCAUGCAGCACACCACCAAACAAGACAUACAAAAGAGACCGUUCUCCAUCCGAGAUUUUCUUUACUAUCGACAAUAUUGACCUGCAACACAAAACUGCUAGCUGAAGACAUGCGUAAAAUAAAACUAUUGAAACUAGCGUCGUGCUACUGCGAGAACACAGAUCUAAUAUUGCACGUUUCUGUACAUGGCCUGUGGGGAAGUUUGGCAAAUCAGAGGUCCGUAAAAUAAGGACUAAACUAAAUCUACUCCUCAGGCGACUCCUGUGAUUGCCGAUGGGCUGAGUGAUAAAACACAAGGUAGAAAAAACAUAAAAGCAGAUUAUCCAAAAUG